CUCAUGACACAAAGAAAAUAAUUUGUAUUUAACAUUUUACGUAAAAAAAAAUAUUAUUCCCUUUGUUCAUCUUUAUCUAUCAGUUAUUUGUUUCGUAAAAUAUUUAUUUCUUUCAUUAUUUUAUGUAAAUAAUUUUUUUAUAAUUAAACCAAAUUCUCAAUUGUACCUAUCACUAAUUCGAUAUUGCUAUUUAUUGAUAUAAGUUUGAUUUGAUAAAAUUUUUAUAUUCUUUAUUAUUUGAAUUUGGCCCACCUUUCGAGAUUUUUCCUAGGGGGUUCAGCUGGGGUUUUAUUUGUUGGCCGUGAAAGCUGAAAAGGAAGCCCUAAUUUCAGCUCUGAUAAGUAUUUUGGGUAAUUUCUGCGUAGAAUGGCGAAGGAUCUACACACAUCGACGCAACCAUGGAUCCUCGAUACGGUUCCUUUAAUAGUGGUUAUUCUAAUCGGAGCUCACGUCGUCGCCCUGGUAUAUUGGAUUUAUAGAUUAGCCACUCAGAAGCAGCCUCAGCAGAGGAGAAAGACUCACUGAACAACAAGGUCCCUGAACCCUAAUUAUUUAGAUAGCUAGAUUAGUAUUGUUGCCUUGCUCCAUAGACACUGUAGAUUACACAGAAAUUUAAUGUUGCUUAGGAAUUUAUGCUGAUGCCAUGUAUUGGACGCCAAGUUCGAAAUUAAGCAAAUUUAGUAUUGGUCUCUUAUAUGAUGCAUACUUCUGUCACUAAUUUGCUAUAUCAUUUUAUGAGUAUGAAAUAGGUUUCUGUUUGUUUUGGCUGUAAUAAUAGUAUUAACAUGACAGCUCAGUUUGAGUUAA